CAUACGGAGUACAUAAAUGUUAUGGAAAAAUUAUUUGUAUCCAGUUUUGAGAGACCUAUCUCUCAAUUUGUUCUUUGAAAACUGAAUAUCGACAUUGAAAAAUUAAAUUUAUUAAUAUUUCAAAGUUUAGAUCAACCUAUAGAAUAUAUCAUACAAUAGACAAACAAUAGGUCUUAUACU
rnacentral:misc_RNA from 1 species